UACGGAAGGCAGCAGUGGGGAAUAUUGCACAAUGGGCGAAAGCCUGAUGCAGCUAUGCCGCGUGUAUGAAGAAGGCCUUAGGGUUGUAAAGUACUUUCAUCGGGGAGGAAAAAACAAAACUAAUAAUUUUAUUUCUUGACGUUACCCGAAAAAGAAGCACCGGCUAACUCCGUGCCAGCAGCCGCGGUAAUACGGAGGGUGCUAGCGUUAAUCAGAAUUACUGGGCGUAAAGAGCACGUAGGUGGUUUUUUUAAGUCAGAUGUGAAAUCCCUGGGCUUAACCUGGAACUGCAUUUUGAAACUGAAAUACUAGAGUAUCGUAGAGGGAGGUAGAAUUCUAGGUGUAGCGGUGAAAUGCGUAGAUAUCUGGAGGAAUACCUGUGGCGAAAGCGGCCUCCUAAACGAAUACUGACACUGAGGGUGCGAAAGCGUGGGGAGCAAACAGGGAUUAGAU
rnacentral:rRNA from 1 species